rnacentral:rRNA from 1 species
GCGAGAGUUCGAUCAUGGCUCAGAUUGAACGCUGGCGGCAUGCCUUACACAUGCAAGUCGAACGGCAGCGCGGGAGCAAUCCUGGCGGCGAGUGGCGAACGGGUGAGUAAUACAUCGGAACGUGCCCAAUCGUGGGGGAUAACGCAGCGAAAGCUGUGCUAAUACCGCAUAAGAUCUACGGAUGAAAGCAGGGGAUCGCAAGACCUUGCGCGAAUGGAGCGGCCGAUGGCAGAUUAGGUAGUUGGUGAGGUAAAGGCUCACCAAGCCUUCGAUCUGUAGCUGGUCUGAGAGGACGACCAGCCACACUGGGACUGAGACACGGCCCAGACUCCUACGGGAGGCAGCAGUGGGGAAUUUUGGACAAUGGGCGCAAGCCUGAUCCAGCCAUGCCGCGUGCAGGAUGAAGGCCUUCGGGUUGUAAACUGCUUUUGUACGGAACGAAAAGUCUCUUUCUAAUAAAGAGGGAUCAUGACGGUACCGUAAGAAUAAGCACCGGCUAACUACGUGCCAGCAGCCGCGGUAAUACGUAGGGUGCAAGCGUUAAUCGGAAUUACUGGGCGUAAAGCGUGCGCAGGCGGUUAUGUAAGACAGUUGUGAAAUCCCCGGGCUCAACCUGGGAACUGCAUCUGUGACUGCAUAGCUAGAGUACGGUAGAGGGGGAUGGAAUUCCGCGUGUAGCAGUGAAAUGCGUAGAUAUGCGGAGGAACACCGAUGGCGAAGGCAAUCCCCUGGACCUGUACUGACGCUCAUGCACGAAAGCGUGGGGAGCAAACAGGAUUAGAUACCCUGGUAGUCCACGCCCUAAACGAUGUCAACUGGUUGUUGGGUCUUCACUGACUCAGUAACGAAGCUAACGCGUGAAGUUGACCAAUCACUA